GAGUUUGAUCAUGGCUCAGAACGUACGCUGGCGGCACGCCUAACACAUGCUAGUCGAACGAAGUAGCAAUACUUAGUGGCAAACGGGGGAGUAAUAUGUGGGAAUCUGCCUUUCGGCACAGAAUAACACGAGGAAACUUGUGCUAAUACCAGAUAAGUCUUUUAAGAGAAAGCUUUAUGCACCGAUGGAUGAGCCCGCACCUGAUUAGUUAGUUGGUGAGGUAAUAGCUUACCAAGACAAUGAUCAGUAGCUGAUUUGAGAGGAUGAUCAGCCACAUUGGGACUGAGACACGGCCCAAACUCCUACGGGAGGCAGCAGUGGGGAAUCUUGCACAAUGGGGGAAACCCUGAUGCAGCGAUGCCGCGUGAGUGAAGAAGGCCUUUGGGUUGUAAAGCUCUUUCGUCGGGGAAGAAAAUGACUGUACCCGAAUAAGAAGGUCCGGCUAACUUCGUGCCAGCAGCCGCGGUAAUACGAAGGGACCUAGCGUAGUUCGGAAUUACUGGGCUUAAAGAGCUCGUAGGUGGUUAAGAAAGUUGGUGGUGAAAUCCCAAGGCUUAACCUUGGAACUGCCACCAAAACUUUUUGACUAGAGUAUGAUAGAGGAAAGUGGAAUUUCUAGUGUAGAGGUGAAAUUCGUAGAUAUUAGAAAGAACACCGAAUGCGAAGGCAACUUUCUGGAUCAUUACUGACACUGAGGAGCGAAAGCAUGGGUAGCGAAGAGGAUUAGAUACCCUCGUAGUCCAUGCUGUAAACGAUGUGUGCUAGACGUUGGAAAUUUAAUUUUCAGUGUCGCAGCGAAAGCGUUAAGCACACCGCCUGGGGAGUACGAUCGCAAGGUUAAAACUCAAAGGAAUUGACGGGGGCCCGCACAAGCGGUGGAGCAUGUGGUUCAAUUCGACGCAACGCGAAGAACCUUACCUGGGCUUGACAUCCUCGGACCGCUUCAGAGAUGAAGUUUCCUCUUCGGAGGCCGAGUGACAGGUGCUGCAUGGCUGUCGUCAGCUCGUGCCGUGAGGUGUUGGGUUAAGUCCCGCAACGAGCGCAACCCCCGCCCUUAGUUGCCCCCGGGUCAUGCCGGGCACUCUAGGGGGACUGCCGGUGACAAGCCGGAGGAGGGCGGGGAUGACGUCAAGUCCUCAUGGCCUUUACGACCAGGGCUACACACGUGUUACAAUGGGAGUUACAGAGGGAAGCUAAACCGCGAGGUCAUGCCAAUCCCAGAAAAACUUUCUCAGUUCGGAUCGCAGUCUGCAACUCGACUGCGUGAAGCUGGAAUCGCUAGUAAUCGCGGAUCAGCACGCCGCGGUGAAUACGUUCCCGGGCCUUGUACACACCGCCCGUCACACCAUGGGAGCUGACAAGGGCAGAAGUCGCCGAGCUAACCUUCGG
rnacentral:rRNA from 1 species